UCGCCAAAGCUUUAUCAGAGUUGACAAACUGCUCCUUAAUGACUUUUAAGUAAUCCUUAGUUUUAUCACAUUCAGUAAUUGAUCCACUUAUGCUUUUUGAUACUCUAAACUUUAUGAUGAUCAAGUUUAAGCCAUUGAACCACUCCCAUUUUUCUGCACAAAUUUCUGCUGUGGAGUAAUAUUUACCCCACUACCUUAGGCGGUUGUUCAACACGCAGAGCUAAGUUAAGAUCCAUAUAAUCCAAAGUAAAAGAAAUACUUUUUUUCCAAUCAGAAUAGUUACCCCCAGUAAGUAUAGAGAUAUAAGAAACAUCAUUUUACCCCAGUAAGUAUAGAGAUAUAAGAAACAUCAUUAAAAUGCAGUAGAGAAAAAAACUAUAAGAACAAAAAAAAUAUUAAACUUUAUCGCCUACUAUAAGACAAUAAUCUUUAAAUUAAAUAAAUUUUAGCUUCUUGUGGGUAGAGGUACAACAAGCAUUGAAUUUAUCUACUUUAAUAAUAAGACUAGCAGAAAAUUAAUUCCUAGCCAACGAGAUUUCU
rnacentral:lncRNA from 1 species